UACGUAGGGCGCGAGCGUUGUCCGGAAUUAUUGGGCGUAAAGAGCUCGUAGGCGGCCUGUUGCGUCCGCUGUGAAAUCCCGGGGCUCAACCCUGGGCGUGCAGUGGAUACGGGCAGGCUGGAGGCAGGCAGGGGAGACUGGAAUUCCUGGUGUAGCGGUGGAAUGCGCAGAUAUCAGGAGGAACACCGGUGGCGAAGGCGGGUCUCCGGGCAGUAACUGACGCUGAGGAGCGAAAGCGUGGGGAGCGAACAGG
rnacentral:rRNA from 1 species